rnacentral:rRNA from 1 species
AACGAACGCUGGCGGCGUGCUUAACACAUGCAAGUCGAACGCUGCAGAAUGGUGCUUGCACUGGGGGGAGUAGUGCCUGACGACUGAGUCAUACGUGCGGAACCUCCCCUUGACACUGGGAUAAAUCCGGGAAACUGCGUUUAGUACUAGGUACGACAUGUUACGGCAUGGUGGUCGGUGGAAUGGGUUUUGGUGGUUUUGGAUGGGUUCACGGCCUAUGAGCUUGUUUGGGUGGUAAUGGCUCACCAACCCCACGAGGGGUAGCAGGCCUGAGCGGGUGAGCGGACACACUGGGACUGAGAUGAGGCCCAGACCCCUACGCGAGGGAGCAGUGGGGAAUAGUGCACAAUGGGCUGAAGCCUAAUCCAGCCCAGCCGCGUCAGGGAUGACGGCAUUCGCGUUGGAUACCUCUUUCCGCUCGCAAGAAGAGAAAGUGACGGUACGCGGAGAAGAAGCCCCGGCUAACUACGUG